UUCGGUGAUGAUAACUUCUUGCAUAGGAAGUGCCGUCCGAUGCGAUAACUGACGAUUGCAAUAUUUGAUCUGAGA